AUGGCUCAGGAUGAAACGCUAGCGACAGGGCCUAACACAUGGCAAGUCAGGGGCAGCGCGGGAGAAGCUUGCUUUCCUGGCGGCGACCGGCGCACGGGUGCGUAACAGGUGUGCAAGUCUGUCCAGUAUCGGGGGAUAGCCCAGCGAAAGCUGAAUUAACACUCCAAUGUGAAUCGAAGCCGCAUGACUUUUGAUUUGAAACGCAAGGACUAUGGGUGAGCACGCUUCUGAUUAGCUAGUUGGUGGGGUAACGGCUCACCAAGGCGACGAUCAGUAGGGGUUCUGAGAGGAAGGUCCCCCACAUUGGAACUGAGACACGGUCCAAACUCCUACGGGAGGCAGCAGUGAGGAAUAUUGGUCAAUGGGCGAGAGCCUGAACCAGCCAAGUCGCGUGAAAGGAUGAAGGUUCUAUGGAUUGUAAACUUCUUUUGUCCGAGGGUAAAAAAGGCCACGUGUGGCUUCUUGCAAGUAUCGGACGAAUAAGCAUCGGCUAACUCCGUGCCAGCCGCAGC
rnacentral:rRNA from 1 species